UCCAGACUCCUACGGGAGGCAGCAGUGGGGGAUAUUGCACAAUGGGGGAAACCCUGAUGCAGCGACGCCGCGUGGGUGAAGAAGUAUUUCGGUAUGUAAAGCCCUAUCAGCAGGGAAGAAAGAAGACGGUACCUGACUAAGAAGCCCCGGCUAACUACGUGCCAGCAGCCGCGGUAAUACGUAGGGGGCGAGCGUUAUCCGGAUUCACUGGGUGUAAAGGGAGCGUAGACGGCCAUGCAAGCCAGGGGUGAAAGCCCGGGGCCCAACCCCGGGACUGCCCUUGGAACUGCAUGGCUGGAGUGCGGGAGGGGCAGGCGGAAUUCCUGGUGUAGCGGUGAAAUGCGUAGAUAUCAGGAGGAACACCAGUGGCGAAGGCGGCUUACUGGACUGUAACUGACGUUGAGGCUCGAAAGCGUGGGGAGCAAACAGGAUUAGAUACCCUUGUAA
rnacentral:rRNA from 1 species